rnacentral:rRNA from 1 species
AACGAACGCUGGCGGCAUGCCUAACACAUCCAAGUCGAACGAGAUCUUCGGGUCUAGUGGCGCGCGGGUGCGUCACGCGUGGGAAUCUGCCCUUUGGUUCGGAAUAACAGUUGGUAACGACUGCUAAUACCGGAUGAUGACGAAAGUCCAAAGAUUUAUCGACAGAGGAUGAGCCCGCGUAGGAUUAGCUAGUUGGGGUGGUAAAGGCGCACCAAGGCGACGAUACUUAGCUGGUCUGAGAGGAUGAUCAGCCACACUGGGACUGAGACACGGCACAGACUCCUACGGGGGGCGGCAGGGGGGAAUAUCGGACAAUGGGCGAAAGCCUGCGCCAGCCAUGCCGCGUGAGUGAUGAAGGCCCUAGGGUUGUAAAGCUCUUUCACCGGUGAAGAUAGUGACGGUAACCGGAGAAGAAGCCCCGGCUAACUUCGUGCCAGCCGCCGCGGUAA